CCUACGGGGUGCAGCAGUAGGGAAUAUUGCUCAAUGGGGGAAACCCUGAAGCAGCAACGCCGCGUGGAGGAUGAAGGUUUUCGGAUUGUAAACUCCUUUUGUCAGAGAAGAUAAUGACGGUAUCUAACGAAUAAGCACCGGCUAACUCCGUGCCAGCAGCCGCGGUAAUACGGAGGGUGCAAGCGUUACUCGGAAUCACUGGGGGGAAAGAGCGCGUAGGCGGGAGAGCAAGUCAGAUGUGAAAUCCUAUGGCUUAACCAUGGAACUGCAUUUGAAACUGUUAGUCUGGAGUAUAGGAGAGGUAGGUGGAAUUCUUGGUGUAGGGGUAAAAUCCGUAGAGAUUAGGAGGAAUACUCGUUGCGAAGGCGACCUGCUAGAACAUAACUGACGCUGAUGCGCGAAAGCGUGGGGAGCAAACAGGAUUAGAUACCCGAGUAGUC
rnacentral:rRNA from 1 species